rnacentral:rRNA from 1 species
CCUACGGGAGGCUGCAGUGGGGAAUAUUGGACAAUGGGGGGAACCCUGAUCCAGCCAUGCCGCGUGUGUGAAGAAGGCCCUCGGGUUGUAAAGCACUUUCAGUGAGGAAGAACGCCUGGUGGUUAAUACCCAUCAGGAAAGACAUCACUCACAGAAGAAGCACCGGCUAACUCCGUGCCAGCAGCCGCGGUAAUACGGAGGGUGCGAGCGUUAAUCGGAAUUACUGGGCGUAAAGCGCGCGUAGGUGGCUUGAUAAGCCGGAUGUGAAAGCCCCGGGCUCAACCUGGGAACGGCAUCCGGAACUGUCAAGCUAGAGUGCAGGAGAGGAAGGUAGAAUUCCCGGUGUAGCGGUGAAAUGCGUAGAGAUCGGGAGGAAUACCAGUGGCGAAGGCGGCCUUCUGGACUGACACUGACACUGAGGUGCGAAAGCGUGGGUAGCAAACAGGAUUAGAUACCCCAGUAGUC